rnacentral:ncRNA from 1 species
CUCUAAUACAAUUUUCAGACUAUAUAUUUCAAGGAAUAUAUACAGCAAAAGUAUUAGUAUUAAAGAGAUUUAUUCCUUCCAAGAAAAAAAGGUAAAAAAGAAUCAAUAAAAUAGAUAUUAGUAAAAUAAAAUUGAAUAUAUUUAUUUUAU